rnacentral:rRNA from 1 species
UACGUAGGUGGCAAGCGUUGUCCGGAUUUACUGGGUGUAAAGGGAGCGUAGACGGCGAUGCAAGCCAGAUGUGAAAGCCCGGGGCUCAACCCCGGGACUGCAUUUGGAACUGUGUGGCUGGAGUGUCGGAGAGGCAAGUGGAAUUCCUAGUGUAGCGGUGAAAUGCGUAGAUAUUAGGAGGAACACCAGUGGCGAAGGCGGCUUGCUGGACGAUGACUGACGUUGAGGCUCGAAAGCGUGGGGAGCAAACAGG